GACGAACGCUGGCGGCGUGCCUAAUACAUGCAAGUAGAACGCUGAAGAGAGGAGCUUGCUCUUCUUGGAUGAGUUGCGAACGGGUGAGUAACGCGUAGGUAACCUGCCUUGUAGCGGGGGAUAACUAUUGGAAACGAUAGCUAAUACCGCAUAACAAUGGAUGACACAUGUCAUUUAUUUGAAAGGGGCAAUUGCUCCACUACAAGAUGGACCUGCGUUGUAUUAGCUAGUAGGUGAGGUAAUGGCUCACCUAGGCGACGAUACAUAGCCGACCUGAGAGGGUGAUCGGCCACACUGGGACUGAGACACGGCCCAGACUCCUACGGGAGGCAGCAGUAGGGAAUCUUCGGCAAUGGGGGCAACCCUGACCGAGCAACGCCGCGUGAGUGAAGAAGGUUUUCGGACCGUAAAGCUCUGUUGUAAGUCAAGAACGGGUGUGAGAGUGGAAAGUUCACACUGUGACGGUAGCUUACCAGAAAGGGACGGCUAACUACGUG
rnacentral:rRNA from 1 species